rnacentral:rRNA from 1 species
CUACGGGGUGCAGCAGUCGAGAAUCUUCGGCAAUGUACGAAAGUGCGACCGAGCGACGCUGCGUGCAGGAAGAAGGCCUUCGGGUUGUAAACUGCUGUUCUGGCGGAAGAACUUUGACGGUACGUCAGCAGAAAGGGGCACCUAAUCUCGUGCCAGCAGGGUGCGGUAAUACGAGAGCCCCAAGCGUUACCCGGAUUUAUUGGGCGUAAAGCGUCCGCAGGCGGGAUGAUGCGUCUACUGUUAAAUCUUAGGGCUCAACCCUAAACCGGCAGUAGAUACGGUCAUCCUUGAGGCAGGGAGAGGUAAGCGGAACUCCUGGUGGAGCGGUGAAAUGCGUUGAUAUCAGGGGGAACACCAAUUGCGAAGGCAGCUUACUGGUCCUGUCCUGACGCUCAGGGACGACAGCGUAGGGAGAGAAUGGGAUUAGAUACCCGAGUAGUC